rnacentral:rRNA from 1 species
CCCUGCUAUUCUAAAAAUAAAUAAUAUUUCAAAGGAAAAAAACAAAAUAAAUUUGACGGUAUUAACCUUUACAAAGGAAUUUGUUUCUAAAUCGAAAACACACGACAAACCUUACUUAAUUCAUAUUUGUAUACCACCGUAUACAGAAAUUUUUUAAAAAUAAAUUUCAUAAAAAACAAUCUUAUAAUAUCAGGUCAAGGUGCAAUUUAAUUAAGAUGAAAUGAAUUACAAUAUACAUAAACAUAUAAGAAAUGAAAUUUUCUUAAAAAAAGAAUUUGUCAGUAAAAUUUUAUCAUAAUGAUAAUUUGAAAAAGUACAUUAAUAUGUACAUAUCGCCCG